ensembl:processed_transcript
CAGCAAUUAGGUUGUUAUUAUUAUUAUUUUUUAAAUGUGCUGAAUGUGUAAUGUAUGGUGAAUUAUUUCCCUAACAAAAACAAUAUGGAUUUAACACUUGUUUCCAAGUUUCAACUGAUCAGAUAAUGAACUAAUAUUCUCCUUCACUUCCCCCCACUUCUCAAUGGGUCUUGGAUUUGUGUGAUUUCUUCACUCGUCCCUUUCCCCCAAAGCAUUUCCGGCAGCCAUAGGCACAACAUUUAAAGACAAUGAAGACCACUGUCAACACAAUGGCCAGGAGGAAGCCAAUCACAUCCAAGGAGUGGUACUGAUACCAGGUGAGGUCAUGGCGGCCAGGCGCAGGUGUGGUGCCCCCUUGUGCCUCAUCACGUAUUCCACCCAGAACACAGCCAGGAGCAGACACACACACAGAGGAAGAGAGGUGGGAAAGGCUGCAGGAACCAUGGUAAAUUCAAAGUCCAGAGCAAUCCAGUCGCUUUUACUGUAAGCUUUUCUAAUAGAGCUGGUUUAAAAGUAGAGGCACAAGACCUACU